GAUGAUCGAUGCGCCGGCGCGGCGGGUGGAGGUCAGCGACUCCAGGAUCGCGGCGUCCCGGUCGAUCCAGCCGCGUUCGGCAGCCGCGGUGAUCAUCG
rnacentral:tRNA from 1 species